UACGGGGGGGGCAAGCGUUGUUCGGAAUUACUGGGCGUAAAGGGCUCGCAGGCGGCCGACUAAGUCAGACGUGAAAUCCCUUGGCUCAACCAAGGAAUGGCGUCUGAUACUGGACGGCUUGAAUCCGGGAGAGGGAUGUGGAAUUCCAGGUGUAGCGGUGAAAUGCGUAGAUAUCCGGAGGAACACCGGUGGCGAAGGCGGCUUCCUGGACCGAUACUGACGCUGAGGCGCGAAAGCUAGGGGAGCAAACGGG
rnacentral:rRNA from 1 species